UACGGAGGGUGCAAGCGUUAAUCGGAAUUACUGGGCGUAAAGCGCGCGUAGGCGGUUAGGUAAGUCGAUUGUGAAAGCCCCGGGCUCAACCUGGGAAUUGCAGUCGAGACUGUCUGACUAGAGUGUGGGAGAGGGUGGUGGAAUUCCCAGUGUAGCGGUGAAAUGCGUAGAUAUUGGGAGGAACACCAGUGGCGAAGGCGGCUCACUGGACCGGUACUGACGCUGAUGCGCGAAAGCGUGGGGAGCAAACGGG
rnacentral:rRNA from 1 species